GUAAAUACAUUUUCUAUAUCCAAAGGACCCGGAUUCAUCAAAGUAAAAUAGCAAGUAAAAAAUGACAUAUUCUAUAAAAACUCUUUUCUUGCGGUUAACAAAAUCAAAGUAAAUAGUACCUUAUCCAACCUAAUAAUAUAGGUAAUAAUACCUCCCAACGAGAUGCCUAGUAGUAUAACUAGUAGUAGAUAUCUAGUAGUAUAAACUGCAAAAUCAACUAAUACCAAAGAUAAGCUGGCCUGUCCAAUCUUUCUUUUGUGGUUCUUUUUAGUCUAUUCUUGUUACCUUCCAUCGCAUGCCAGUCAAAUUACUUUGCCAUUUUUUGUUUCUGCCCUUUUUAGUUUUAGUUUUGUUCUUUCUUAGGUUAAUUAGGAAUUUUUUUUUUGUAUUUAUUUAUAAUGUUUUCAUGGCCUGUUUCACGCAAAUUACGCUAUCGGUUUUAUAUAAUCGCGAAGCAGUUCCUUUUACCAAAAAUUGUCAAUUUUUUUUUCUCAUGUAGCUAAUUAUAUUUAUAACUAUUUUUUUGGUAAUAAACUUUUUUGACUUUGA